GGCACGAUGCCGGAGUGGUCUAACGGGUGAGACUUGAAUCCCAAUAUUGUGGUCCAGUCUAUCUCAUGUCUUAGGACGCGCAGGUUCGAAUCCUGCUCGUGUCG